rnacentral:rRNA from 1 species
AAAAAAGGUAAGCUACUAAGAGCGAAUGGUGGAUGCCUUGACUGGUAAAGGCGAUGAAGGACGUACUAGACUGCGAUAAGCUACGGGGAGCUGUCAAGAAGCUUUGAUCCGUAGAUUUCCGAAUGGGGCAACCCAAUGUAUAGAGAUAUACAUUACCUAUAUAGGAGCGAACGAGGGGAAUUGAAACAUCUUAGUACCCUCAGGAAAAGAAAUCAAUAGAGAUUGCGUCAGUAGCGGCGAGCGAAAGCGCAAGAGGGCAAACCCAGUGCUUGCACUGGGGGUUGUAGGACUGCAAUGUGCAAGAGGUAAGUUUAGCAGAACAUUCUGGAAAGUAUAACCAUAGAGGGUGAUAGUCCCGUAUGCGAAAAACAAACCUUAGCUAGCAGUAUCCUGAGUAGGGCGGGACACGAGGAAUCCUGUCUGAAUCUGGGUCGACCACGAUCCAACCCUAAAUACUAAUACCAGAUCGAUAGUGCACAAGUACCGUGAGGGAAAGGUGAAAAGAACUGAGGUGAUCAGAGUGAAAUAGAACCUGAAACCAUUUGCUUACAAUCAUUCAGAGCCCUAUGUAGCAAUACAGGGUGAUGGACUGCCUUUUGCAUAAUGAGCCUGCGAGUUGUGGUGUCUGGCAAGGUUAAGCAAACGCGAAGCCGUAGCGAAAGCGAGUCUGAAUAGGGCGCUUAGUCAGAUGCUGCAGACCCGAAACGAAGUGAUCUAUCCAUGAGCAAGUUGAAGCUAGUGUAAGAACUAGUGGAGGACUGAACCCAUAGGCGUUGAAAAGCCCCGGGAUGACUUGUGGAUAGGGGUGAAAGGCCAAUCAAACUUCGUGAUAGCUGGUUCUCUCCGAAAUAUAUUUAGGUAUAGCGUUGUGUCGUAAUAUAAGGGGGUAGAGCACUGAAUGGGCUAGGGCAUACACCAAUGUACCAAACCCUAUCAAACUCCGAAUACCUUAUAUGUAAUCACAGCAGUCAGGCGGCGAGUGAUAAAAUCCGUCGUCAAGAGGGAAACAACCCAGACUACCAGCUAAGGUCCCUAAAUCUUACUUAAGUGGAAAACGAUGUGAAGUUACUUAAACAACCAGGAGGUUGGCUUAGAAGCAGCCAUCCUUUAAAGAAAGCGUAAUAGCUCACUGGUCUAGUGAUUUUGCGCGGAAAAUAUAACGGGGCUAAAGUAAGUACCGAAGCUGUAGACUUGCACACAACUUAGAUUAUUUAAGUUUAGAAUAUUAAGAAACUAAGUUAUAUGUUUUAGUUAUAUUUUUACUGAUUUUUAUAGGGUAAAGAUAGAAAUAAAACUUAGUAAAAUCAGUAAAAAUAUUCUUAGGCUAAAGUUAAGUAGUUUAAGUUGUGUGCAAGUGGUAGGAGAGCGUUCUAUUUGCGUCGAAGGUAUACCGGUAAGGAGUGCUGGAGCGAAUAGAAGUGAGCAUGCAGGCAUGAGUAGCGAUAAUUAAUGUGAGAAUCAUUAACGCCGUAAACCCAAGGUUUCCUACGCGAUGCUCGUCAUCGUAGGGUUAGUCGGGUCCUAAGUCGAGUCCGAAAGGGGUAGACGAUGGCAAAUUGGUUAAUAUUCCAAUACCAACAUUAGUGUGCGAUGGAAGGACGCUUAGGGCUAAGGGGGCUAGCGGAUGGAAGUGCUAGUCUAAGGUCGUAGGAGGUUAUACAGGCAAAUCCGUAUAACAAUACUCCGAGAACUGAAAGGCUUUUUGAAGUCUUCGGAUGGAUAGAAGAACCCCUGAUGCCGUCGAGCCAAGAAAAGUUUCUAAGUUUAGCUAAUGUUGCCCGUACCGUAAACCGACACAGGUGGGUGGGAUGAGUAUUCUAAGGCGCGUGGAAGAACUCUCUUUAAGGAACUCUGCAAAAUAGCACCGUAUCUUCGGUAUAAGGUGUGGUUAGCUUUGUAUUAGGAUUUACUCCGAAAGCAAGGAAACUUACAACAAAGAGUCCCUCCCGACUGUUUACCAAAAACACAGCACUCUGCUAACUCGUAAGAGGAUGUAUAGGGUGUGACGCCUG